ACAAUUCACAAUAUGUAAAAAAAACAAUGCAAAGUAUGUUGUUAAAUGUCAUUGCACAUUUUAAGUGGGUAUAUGAAAAACCUGGAGCUUUCUUAGCUGG